GUUAACAACUUAAAACAUCAAAG
rnacentral:snRNA from 1 species